rnacentral:rRNA from 1 species
AAUAGAUACCCCGGUAGUCCACCCCGUAAACGUUGGGAACUAGUUGUGGGGCCUUUCCACGGUCUCCGUGACGCAGCUAACGCAUUAAGUUCCCCGCCUGGGGAGUACGGCCGCAAGGCUAAAACUCAAAGGAAUUGACGGGGACCCGCACAAGCGGCGGAGCAUGCGGAUUAAUUCGAUGCAACGCGAAGAACCUUACCAAGGCUUGACAUACACCGGAAAAGGCUGGAAACAGUCUCCCCCUUGUGGUCGGUGUACAGGUGGUGCAUGGUUGUCGUCAGCUCGUGUCGUGAGAUGUUGGGUUAAGUCCCGCAACGAGCGCAACCCUCGUUCUAUGUUGCCAGCACGUUAUGGUGGGAACUCAUGGGAUACUGCCGGGGUCAACUCGGAGGAAGGUGGGGAUGACGUCAAAUCAUCAUGCCCCUUAUGUCUUGGGCUUCACGCAUGCUACAAUGGCCGGUACAAAGGGCGGCGAUACCGUAAGGUGGAGCGAAUCCCAAAAGCCGGUCCCAGUUCGGAUUGAGGUCUGCAACUCGACCUCAUGAAGUCGGAGUCGC